CGCAUAAGCGCACAGCUUCGCAUGAAGCAGUGUGAAAAACUCCGGUGGUAUACGAUGGAUCCGCGUCGGAUUAGCUGGUUGGCGGGGUAACAGCCCACCAAGGCGACGAUCAGUAGCCGGCCUGAGAGGGUGAACGGCCACAUUGGGACUGAGACACGGCCCAAACUCCUACGGGAGGCAGCAGUGGGGAAUAUUGCACAAUGGGGGAAACCCUGAUGCAGCGACGCCGCGUGAGUGAAGAAGUAUUUCGGUAUGUAAAGCUCUAUCAGCAGGGAAGAAAUACUGACCUUACGGUCAGCAGACGGUACCUGACUAAGAAGCCCCGGCUAACUACGUGCCAGCAGCCGCGGUAAUACGUAGGGGGCAAGCGUUAUCCGGAUUUACUGGGUGUAAAGGGAGCGUAGACGGCAGCGCAAGUCUGAAGUGAAAUCCCAUGGCUUAACCAUGGAACUGCUUUGGAAACUGUGCAGCUGGAGUGCAGGAGAGGUAAGCGGAAUUCCUAGUGUAGCGGUGAAAUGCGUAGAUAUUAGGAGGAACACCAGUGGCGAAGGCGGCUUACUGGACUGUAACUGACGUUGAGGCUCGAAAGCGUGGGG
rnacentral:rRNA from 1 species